GCUGAGACAUCAGGGCGAGAUGAAGACGCAGCAAAGACCACUUCAGAAAGAGCAGAGACUCGGCGGCAAGGGGAAGCAAAAUGAAUGAGGCCACGCAAUCUUAGACAGCGGAAUGGAGGGGGUGUGGGGAACUGCACCACGGCCAGAUCAAUCAGGGCCCGAUUUCCAGAGCUAGAAUUCGAACUUUUGUCCAGAAAACAAGAUGCCACUGAAGCAUCCGUCCGAGGAGAGCAACGUGACAGCAUCUGCACCUUGGAAAGCCCAGGCUCAGAGGAUGUUUAAACGCUGACCCGGAGUGAUGUAAUUCCUAACCCUGUAAAAUUUGGGCCUUGAGUGUGUCUCAGAGUCAUGCAUGAAAGACGGGAGACUAGACGCUGAGAGCAGCCACCUGAACAAUGAACUAUGGUCAAGCCCUGGAGUUCCAAUAAAGCCCUGGAGAUCGAGGCCUGGGCAAUCCUCUUGACUUGGCAAUACUGCAUGGGUAUUGCCAUACGUCACUGCUGAGAGAAGACCGUGACAUUCUGCAUUCGGUCACUUACCAGACUCGUCUACGCAGUUCUGCCCUUGGGUGAUUUUAAUAUGUAUCCUUUCUCCUGUUAAUAAACCGUAGACUGAAUAUAAACAGCUUUCAGUGUCAGAGAACAGACCGUCUGUGGGUACCGUGCUCUCUGAUUCAUUCUUCCAUCUGCACCUGUCACAGCACUUCUUCUUCCCGAAUCAACUACUCACAGGACAUGGUGAACUGAAAAGAGCCCAGUGACUGAACUGGCCGAAAAUGUCACUCAAUAGGAAGUAAUUGCUUUGAACUGU